GGGAUCCCUGAAGCCCUAACGGGAUUCCAUUCUACCCUCCCCUUUCCUUUCCGGGUCCAGCGGCGCUGCCGUCGCCGGCGACUCUCGCCGGCGCUCGGCCGGGUCUGGACGCCAGGUGGCUUUCUUCUAUCUUUCUUGCUUCCCCCGUCCUCCCCCUCUUCUGGAUCUAGCCCGAGCGGGCGGCGGCGACGCCAGUGGUGGUCGACGCGGGAAAGGCGGCGGCGCUGCCGAGGCUGCCUCGCCGGCGCGUGCGCUCGCCUGAGGGUGAGUGUGCGGCCGUCGAGGUGGCCACGGGCGGCACCACCGGUUCUGCACGGCCGUGCCCCCGCGCAUGCAUGCGUUACGGCGAGCGGCGGCCGCGGCUUCUACACCGCACGCCGUCAAGCGGCGUCGGCAUGGAGAGGAUCAUCUUCUAGAUGUAAACACGGGCAUGGGGAUUACAUAUUCUGAGUAGUAAACAAGUGUUCAUCCUUCUAGUACAAGAGAGAGAGGUAGAGAGAAAAAGAAGGGGGCGCAGAGGAUGCAAACCCCAUGGCGCCGAUGGCGCAGAGAAGCUCCGGGUCGUCGAGGCGCGGGUCUGGCGGCGACGGUGGUCGGCGAGGGAAGCGGAAACCCUCUGGCCUCCACCGGGUCUGGCCGGCGACGGAAGUAGCGGAGGGGAGCGACGUGGUGGCGCUUCCCGUCGGCCUCGCGUAACCCUAGAUCGGUAGGGGUGUGGGAGAGGGUUGUGGCGGCGGUGAACCUCGUGUCAUGUGCCUCGGCCCCUCUCCUGUUCUAUAUAGCGCGGUCGACGGGGGGGGGGGGGGGGGCACCAGCCAUAUGGGCUGGACGCCCCCGAUCAGAGCGUGUUCAAGGGGUCCGGCCCGAUCUUUAGAUCGGGCCCGUAGAGAUCAACUCUAACACAAGAAGGCUGUGGAGGCCGAGAUGGUCCUCCCGGCUUGAUGCGCGCGCGGGGCGUGCUGGUGUCGUGCUCCAUGUCGAAUAAUGCUUCCGGUAUUUGAGAGUGGUGGAGAGAAUAAAAUGGUUCAUCAUCCAUGGACAUGGUUUCGGAUGGAUCGCCUCCUAGACGCUGCUUUACUGUUCGUCGAAACGUUAUCGUCACUCUUUGUUUUCAGACUUAUGGUUUUGUGCCACCAGUGUUAUGGAUUUAUGACGGUUCAAUCUGUUUGCUUAAUGUUAGCAUGGAUUGUGAUAGAGUUUUCUUGUUACACCAUUUUUUUCAUCUUGCAUUGCUGGGUGAUUUGACAUAUUUCGCUGUGAUUUAGUUGCAAUUUAUCAAUUUGCAGUUUUUUUACAAUACAUGUCUUUUGGGAUUGCGACUCUUUUUAUGGAUCCACGUCAGACAACUCAAUCAAAUAGAAUUGCAGCUUUUGCUCUGUAAUUGAAACUUUAGGUAAAAUUUUAGGCGAUUAGAAAUCAGCUUGCAGCCUGUUCGGCUGGUGAUGGGCUGUUGACUGGUCAGCCUAGUUCCAGCUAGCGCCAGCUGCUCCAGCCGGCCUCCAACCAUUUCAAGUUCAAGCAAGCCCGCCAUGGGUUCGGCUGGUGAUGGGCUGUUGACUGGCUUUCCCCCCCAACCGAACAGGCCGUUGGCUAUUGUGGUGAAAUUCAUUGAAUGGUCCACAGCUGCCCGCAGGCGGAGUCCAUCCCAUCGUCUUCGCUUUCCUGCGGGACGCCGUGCGCAAGGACGUCGGCCGCCGGCGCUGCUUGCUCCGUGCAGGCCAGCGACGCAUCGCGCCUCCAUCCUGCCCGGGCCAGCAGAGCCAUCAGCCAUCGAGCAUGAAGCACGGGCACCACGACGGCGGUGAACGACAUCCCGACGCCCAAGGGCCAACGCGUUCGACAACAAAAGUACUUCACCUCGGACCAGGAGCUCUCCACAUCCACACCGACCACGGCAGGACCAACAAAAGCUGGGAUAUAGUGGCCCUUGUUGGAUUUGAAUACAGUCACCAAUACUAUACAAAGCACAGCCUUUGCUGGAUCUGUUAGAUAUGGUUGUCAUGAAUCUAUGGGUGAAAUCUUGUUCGAAUGCGUUGUGUUUUGAGGAGGCAAUUUUGAAUCAAAGAUUCGAACUUUUGCCCUUUCUUAUUA